GGAAAAACAAUAUGGUGAGAAGAGGGCCUGGCAUUGAGCCUUGAGGAACUUCAGAAAGAAAGAGAUAAGACUACCAAGGACACCCAGAAGAAGCAUUUUUAUGGUUGGAAAGUAUCUUUGUUGUUAUUAACUUGUUUAAAGCCAGUUUCUGUCAUCUUUAAAAACCACUUUUUGAAAACAAGGAAAUCAUUGUAUUUUCUGCUACAUCCCUGGCAUCUAGCACAGUGCCCAGCCUAUGGUAGACACAUAUAAGCUUAAAGAUGGUCAAAAUGGACUUAAAAAAAGAAAAUCAGAGAAAGAAAUAACUUCCAAUUGCCUGUUUGCAUGUAU
rnacentral:lncRNA from 1 species